AAGAGCUGGGUGUUGCAGCCUGACAGCCAUGAAAUGGCGGUGGCGAGGAGCGUUGGCGUUGCCUGGGUGCAUAGGCUGAGGCUUUCUGCCUUCCUCAAGAACUGCAGUUCUCCCAGGGCCUUUCAGCUUGGCUGCCCAAGCGCACAGGACGGGGGUAUCGCUUAUCUGAGAAACCCACAGGGGAAAAAAAACCCUCCUGAUUCAGGAGAGAARCAAGUUUUGAAAUAAGAGCAUUUUCUGCAAGCUUAAAAUUCCGGAGUUUGACUCAGGUAAGUAGAAAUCGAGCACAACAUGGGUGAG
rnacentral:lncRNA from 1 species